rnacentral:rRNA from 1 species
GAUGAACGCUGGCGGCGUGCCUAAUACAUGCAAGUCGAGCGAACGGACGAGAAGCUUGCUUCUCUGAUGUUAGCGGCGGACGGGUGAGUAACACGUGGAUAACCUACCUAUAAGACUGGGAUAACUUCGGGAAACCGGAGCUAAUACCGGAUAAUAUUUUGAACCGCAUGGUUCAAAAGUGAAAGACGGUCUUGCUGUCACUUAUAGAUGGAUCCGCGCUGCAUUAGCUAGUUGGUAAGGUAACGGCUUACCAAGGCAACGAUGCGUAGCCGACCUGAGAGGGUGAUCGGCCACACUGGAACUGAGACACGGUCCAGACUCCUACGGGAGGCAGCAGUAGGGAAUCUUCCACAAUGGGCGAAAGCCUGACGGAGCAACGCCGCGUGAGUGAUGAAGGUCUUCGGAUCGUAAAACUCUGUUAUUAGGGAAGAACAUAUGUGUAAGUAACUGUGCACAUCUUGACGGUACCUAAUCAGAAAGCCACGGCUAACUACGUG